rnacentral:misc_RNA from 1 species
CCCCUCUUCAGAUACUGAUUUUUUUUUUUUCAUUCUUUUUUGGCACUGAGGUGGUUGUGAAACCAAAUGAGGACACUGCAUUUUCUUACCUGGGCUGUACUAAUCACAAAUGCUAGAACUGUCAAUGUGACCAUUAUUCAGAUUUAGGAUGGGAAGUAGUGAUCGUUUGCCACUCUAAAGCCUAUACUCUUUGUAAGGGACUAAACAAGCAUACAAAAUCUUUCCGCAAACUGUAUCUGCACUGUGCCAAAAUUGGAGCACAAAUGAUCAUUGAUAAGAUUAAACUUC